CUCUCUUCAUCGGAUCGACCUGGUACCUCUCGCACAGAUUGCCCUCCUUUUGCUUGCAGACCACACACUCUCCGCAUUCCCCGUUGAAGAUGGGGGAUCUGGGGCGAAAUACCCGACAGCCUCGUGGCCAAGAAUCCGUGGGAACGCUCUCUGAGCUUCGUUCUUUGAAUUAUGAACGUGUAAUGUCAACGUUAAUCAAGAGAAAGUGACAUGAAUCGAGACAGAAACUCGUGUAGCUCUAUAGGGUGUAACCAGAUGGCUUGAUGUAUGAACGGCUAUAUAUAUAUAUACACACAAUGUA